rnacentral:tRNA from 1 species
GAGGAUAUGGCGGAAUUGGUAGACGCGAUGGACUUAAAAUCCAUUGAUUAUUUAAAUCUUGAGGGUUCAAGUCCCUCUAUCCUCA